GUAACACGGUAUCCAACCUACCGGUUAUUCCGGGAUAGCCUUUCGAAAGAAAGAUUAAUACCGGAUAGUAUAACGAGAAGGCAUCUUUUUGUUAUUAAAGAAUUUCGAUAACCGAUGGGGAUGCGUUCCAUUAGUUUGUUGGCGGGGUAACGGCCCACCAAGACAUCGAUGGAUAGGGGUUCUGAGAGGAAGGUCCCCCACAUUGGAACUGAGACACGGUCCAAACUCCUACGGGAGGCAGCAGUGAGGAAUAUUGGUCAAUGGACGAGAGUCUGAACCAGCCAAGUAGCGUGAAGGAUGACUGCCCUAUGGGUUGUAAACUUCUUUUAUAUGGGAAUAAAGUGAGCCACGUGUGGCUUUUUGUAUGUACCAUACGAAUAAGGAUCGGCUAACUCCGUGCCAGCAGCCGCGGUAAUACGGAGGAUCCGAGCGUUAUCCGGAUUUAUUGGGUUUAAAGGGAGCGUAGGCGGACUAUUAAGUCAGCUGUGAAAGUUUGCGGCUCAACCGUAAAAUUGCAGUUGAUACUGGUCGUCUUGAGUGCAGUAGAGGUAGGCGGAAUUC
rnacentral:rRNA from 1 species